rnacentral:rRNA from 1 species
UACGUAGGGGGCGAGCGUUAUCCGGAUUCACUGGGUUUAAAGGGUGCGUAGGUGGGUUGGUAAGUCAGUGGUGAAAUCCCCGAGCUUAACUUGGGAACUGCCAUUGAUACUAUCAGUCUUGAAUACCGUGGAGGUCAGCGGAAUAUGUCAUGUAGCGGUGAAAUGCUUAGAUAUGACAUAGAACACCAAUUGCGAAGGCAGCUGGCUACUCGGAUAUUGACACUGAGGCACGAAAGCGUGGGGAUCAAACAGG